AUUUCGGGUUUUGGUCAGUGGGGGUGCACCACUUCCCCUAGCUUUCUAGGGGAAGUGGUGCACCCCCACUCACCAAAACCCGAA
rnacentral:pre_miRNA from 1 species